GUUUCUUGAGGGAUCUGUUGCCUUUUGUUGUACCCUGGGGGUUGUAGCUGUUUAAGAACAGUUUUUCAUUGGUUACAAUCCUGU